CCUAACACAUGCAAGUCGAACGGAACUUGAGAGAGCUUGCUUUUUCAAGUUUAGUGGCGAACGGGUGAGUAACGCGUGAGUAACCUGCCCUGGAGUGGGGGACAACAGUUGGAAACGACUGCUAAUACCGCAUAAGCCCACGGUGCCGCAUGGCACAGCGGGAAAAGGAUUUAUUCGCUUCAGGAUGGACUCGCGUCCAAUUAGCUAGUUGGUGAGGUAACGGCCCACCAAGGCGACGAUUGGUAGCCGGACUGAGAGGUUGAACGGCCACAUUGGGACUGAGACACGGCCCAGACUCCUACGGGAGGCAGCAGUGGGGGAUAUUGCACAAUGGGGGAAACCCUGAUGCAGCGACGCCGCGUGGAGGAAGAAGGUUUUCGGAUUGUAAACUCCUGUCGUACGGGACGAAUCAUGACGGUACCGUACAAGAAAGCCACGGCUAACUACGUGCCAGCAGCCGCGGUAAAACGUAGGUGGCAAGCGUUGUCCGGAAUUACUGGGUGUAAAGGGAGCGCAGGCGGACCGGCAAGUUGGAAGUGAAAUCUAUGGGCUCAACCCAUAAAUUGCUUUCAAAACUGCUGGCCUUGAGUAGUGCAGAGGUAGGCGGAAUUCCCGGUGUAGCGGUGGAAUGCGUAGAUAUUCGGAGGAACACCAGUGGCGAAGGCGGCUUGCUGGGCUCUAACUGACGCUGAGGCUCGAAAGUGUGGGGAGCAAACAGGAUUAGAUACCCUGGUAGUCCACACUGUAAACGAUGAUUACUAGGUGUUGGAGGAUAGACCCCUUCAGUGCCGCAGUUAACACAAUAAGUAAUCCACCUGGGGAGUACGACCGCAAGGUUGAAACUCAAAGGAAUUGACGGGGGCCCSCACAAGCMGUGGAGUAUGUGGUUUAAUUCGACGCAACGCGAAGAACCUUACCAAGUCUUGACAUCCUCUGGCGAGUACAGAAAUGUGCUUUUCCUUCGGGACAGAGAGACAGGUGGUGCAUGGUUGUCGUCAGCUCGUGUCGUGAGAUGUUGGGUUAAGUCCCGCAACGAGCGCAACCCUUAUGGAUAGUUACUACGCAAGAGGACUCUAUUCAGACUGCCGUUGACAAAACGGAGGAAGGUGGGGAUGACGUCAAAUCAUCAUGCCCUUUAUGACUUGGGCUACACACGUACUACAAUGGCGUUCAACAAAGAGAAGCGAAGCCGCGAGGCAGAGCAAAACUCAAAAACAACGUCCCAGUUCAGAUUGCAGGCUGCAACUCGCCUGCAUGAAGUCGGAAUUGCUAGUAAUCGCAGAUCAGCAUGCUGCGGUGAAUACGUUCCCGGGCCUUGUACACUCCGCCCA
rnacentral:rRNA from 1 species